GCCUUCGUGGUGUAGUGGUCAGCACACUCGGCGCGUAUUCGAGAGGUCCAUGGUUCGAGUCCCCGCGAGGGCA
rnacentral:tRNA from 1 species